AAAAUUGAAUCAAAUUUAAAACAGCUAGUAGAUAUUCUUUUGGAUAGUAUUAUGCCAGCAAGAAGAAUAAAAAACAGCAGUGCCAGUGUUACCAUGUGUUACCAAUGUUAAAAACUUGAUCCCAAAAACAUCAAAAGAAGGAAUUUACUAUGCAUUAUUAUGUUAGUAUAAACCUUCCAUCUCUUUCCUUACUGGGACCAUUCUUCACAUGACAUUUUCUGGAAAACGUUGAGAAACCCAUGAUGACUGUAACAAAGUGAGUAUACAGUGCUGUAGACAGGGAAAAAAUAUCUUACAGCCCUCUUUAAUACUUUCUGUCCUGUCUGUGUAACCGCAGACAAUUCUGGUAGUCAUGCAAACACACCCUUAAGCCUGAGUGGCCUCAGGAAAUUGCUUAAUAGUGAUGAAUGAACAAAAGCAAUGCAGAAUAAAAUGAAAAAAAAACAAAAACAAAAAAAAACUGUCUGAUGCUGGAAUUGCACAUUACAGAAUUAAAUUUGAAGCAUGCUGUAAUUCCAAAUUUGAUCCACACAAGUAAAUCUCACACACUUGAGCCAACCCCUGGCUUCGUAUCUGAACUUUCCAAUUGUUCCACUUACACAAAACUGUCUUGGACAUUUUACGAAAACAGACUCACUUUCAAAAUUUCCAAUACUUCCUAUCUUCAAGGGUGCCAGAAUUACCACAAGAAUGUCUUUUUCCUGGCAUUUUGAAUAGGCCUCACUGAUAGGAUACACCAGAGGAAAACUUACACCAGGAACACUGCUUUAUUUAAGAUUAGAGUUUUUGUUAUACCAAGCCAACUCGGACAUCUCCUUAGUCUGAUAACCCACUGCCAGUGGCUUUUGCUGAGUAAAACCAAACCAAAAAGUCCUAAUGGUCUUUGACAAAUGUUCAAUUCUGAUAACACCCCAUUUCUGCACAAGCACAAUCCCUUGCUGCCAACCAGUGGAGUAAUCAAGAGAGAAUCAAGGCUCUCUGUACAUAAUCAGUAAUGCCCAUAUUUUAAUAGCAAAUUAACACUAUAAAACCAAAUCACAUGUAUAAGUUAACGCAGACAAUAAUGCAGGCAGCAGUGGAUGUUUCUCUUAGAAUUGUGUGUGAAAUUAAUUUAUUCACUGGAACCAACAAAAAUUGCCACAUUCAACUAGUUUGAUGGUAUUUUUUUAAAUCAAAGUAUAAAGAGGCAAUUAAAGGAAGAGAAAUCAGCUUUUAAUCUUUCUGGAGAGAUCCCUGAAGAAAUAUUUUAUGGCAAAAAAAAAUUGAAACAGUAGUAAAAACAGCAGUACUGGCUUAUAGAGGGGUUAGAUAAGCACAUCCACGCUAGAUUAAUGCACUUUCUGGAUGAAUGUUCAACUUUUCUAAGCCUUCCGACUUCCUUUGAAACCAAGACAAAAAAUAAAUUAAAAAAAAAAAAUCAUAGUUUAAUUUCUUCUUACUUUCCACUUCAAAUGGGUAAUGCAAGAAGCGAAGAACUGAUUCCAAGUCAUCCAAUGAGCAAAUUCAGGGACUCAAGUUACACUUAAUUAAAGGUGGGUCAUCUGUAAGCCAGUUUUGUAAAUGCUUUUUUGUUGUUUCUGUUUGUUUGUUUGUUUCACCCUGCCUGCACUCCAAUAAACCAUUCAUGCUGAAGACAGUCAAUGAUCUCCAAUUUUUAAAUCAGCCACUAUGAAUCAGAACAGAAACUAUCUUGCAGCAACAUAUCACCUUGGAGCAUUUGUUUCUCCACUUGGCUCUUGUAGUAAAAGCACAUCUAAUUCAUACAAACCCUAGACUAUUCCAGAAUGGACAAGAAAUGCAGUGGAGAAAAGACUACAUGUUAAAGACACCAAACCACCUGAGAAAGAUAUGUUAUUAUUCUAGUUGGCCAUUCAGUUGUCUCUGUUCAUGAACAGAUCAACUGCGUAUCUGAACAGAGGGACGAAAUAACGGCUUCUAUACAGUAGUACCACAAAAUUAAUUAGGUUUAUGUUCAAAACCAUAAUCCUUUCAUAUUCUUGGAAUCAUCUUCUAAACAAUACCUUAAACCCAAAUAAACUGAUUAAAUCCAAGCAAGCAAAAAUAAGAUCUUGGACUGAAAAAUCCCAGGCAUUCAUCCAAAGCAGCCAUCCCUCCCCUGACUCCAGUGUGUUUCGGAUCACAGCCCUCAGCCCUUCUGAUCUGUUUGUGCGCUGCCCAAGAUUCUAGAAUAGCCCCUUUGAAGUUGCUUUUCACAGUUCAGCAAGCACACAAUGUUGUGUCUAUUACAGGACUCAGCAAAGAGAUCUUUCUUCGCUGCUGGUCUGUCAAUGCUGAGGGAGGGUUCACUUCCAGCAGCUGCAGGCACUGAAGUUUUACACAUUUACAGGUUUCCAAAAAGAGCUGCAACUCGCUCAAGCAACAUGAAGAGUAUGUACAUGAUGAUACACAAUAUCUUUCAGUCCAAUGCUGAGCCCCAAACUGCUCUUAAGGCAGACGGAAUUUCAGCCCAACCAACACAAAGGCAUAUACUGUGGCUAGCUGACAGGCAGGAAGGGGUUUGGGUUUUACAGUUCCUGCGAGUCUUCCAGCAGUCACAGGGUAAUGUGACAGAAUGUAAACAUCUUUGAAGUGAAAAUAGUUUGGAAUAAAAUGGAUGUUUCAUUUUUUCCCCAAACCUGUCUUUGUUUCAGAUCAAUAAUCAUUACAAGUAGCAAUCUGAAGCUCAAACAUCUGAGCAUGGGAAUGCCCAGGAUCGUUAUGUAGCAUCUUCUGAUUUAGCUGUCAGGUUUUGUUUAGCAUUCUGCACCCAUCCUCCAGUUUAGCUUGCCUGAAAAUUUUAAAUGCAAAUUUAUUUGCAAGGUGGCAUAAAAGAAUAUCAGAAUUUUACCUUACACCACAGCUUCUAACUCAGCUCCCUCUUCCUCACUCCCAUAUACACACAUUUCACAGCCACUAAAAUAAAUAUUUGAAUAGAAAAAUCUUUACCUAUUAUAUUUUUCCCUACUAAAAGAUUUCAUUGGCCUUUCUGCUGAAACAGACCUAAAUCACAGUUUAAGCAACACUUUAAUAUCACCAACAGCUUGAAACAUACAAUUUUUGAACAGGCAACCGAUGUCUAUAAUAGUAAUACUUAAUUCAAAUAAUCCAUAAGCCUCAUAGUAUUUUCCAUCUUCUUAGGGCUAGAUAUACGUGAGCUAAUUAAUCACUUUAAUCACUAUUUUCUCCACACCUCAAAUUCACCAUUCUUGUUCCAAGAAACCAUGGGGAAAGCAAAUGGUACCAGGAGGACAUACUUCUGGACAAGCACUGGUCAUUUUCCUCUGUUCUUUUUGUUCAGUGUAAGUGAGUCCUGGACCAUAGACGUAGGCAGCAAAUUACCAGGUCUCAUAAUUCAACAGUUCCUUCAGACACUUUGAUCAUAGCUACAGGAAAAGCAAACUGUCCAUUGACCUGACUAUGAAGACAUUUUUCUAGCAGCAGUGCUAAAGAACUUUAAACACCAUUAGAUGUUCAGAAAUAGAUCUAACCAUUCUCUUGGUGUGAGGAUGCUCCUUCCCAUCUACAGAACCAAUCUAGGCACAAGUUGAACACAGCUCAGCCAUUCUACACUGUGUUAUACAAGAUCAGAAUAUGCUUCAGAAAUUAUAAUAACACUAUUUACAGCAAAAAAAAAAAAGCCUUCAUCUUCCCCUUGGAGAACAAUUUUUCCUUUGCUUUUGUGGUUUAUUAUCAAACAUACAUGCAAGAAUGAUGCUUUAAAGGACAACAAAGAAGUAGGCCUGCAUGUCAGCUGGCACAAAUUAUCAGAGCAUUCAAUGCUGAGCCAAUAUAACUUGUUUCAGCUAAUAUCCACUAUAAUAUUGAACUCUACUGAUGAAACAGGAAAAGCUAUUUUUAGUCAUUAUCUAUUGUUUUUCAUAAGAGAUUAAUUGCCACUUAGAGUUCUCUUACGGAUCUUGCAUUUUAUCAUAUGUGUUUAUGGAGUUGUUCAUUAAUCCUGGAGGUUUUUAUAUUAAU